CCUACGGGUGGCAGCAGUGAGGAAUAUUGGUCAAUGGGCUGACGCCUGAACCAGCGAAGUCGCGUGAGGGAAGACUGCCCUAUGGGUUGUAAACCUCUUUUGUCAGGGAGCAAUUGGCGCUACGUGUAGCGUUAUCGAGAGUAACUGAAGAAAAAGCAUCGGCAAACUCCGUGCCAGCAGCCGCGGUAAUACGGGGGAUGCGAGCGUUAUCCGGAUUUUUUGGGUUAAAGGGGUGCGUAGGCGGAAUGCCAAGUCAGCGGUAAAAUCGCGGGGCUCAACCUCGCUCCGCCGUUGAAACUGGCGUUCUUGAGUGGGCGAGAGGUAUGCGGAAUGCGUGGUGUAGCGGUGAAAUGCGUAGAUAUCACGCAGAACUCCGAUUGCGAAGGCAGCAUACCGGCGCCCAACUGACGCUGAGGCACGAAAGCGUGGGUAUCGAACAGGAUUAGAUACCCGAGUAGUC
rnacentral:rRNA from 1 species